CGUGUGAUGAACGACUUCCACGUCUUUUUUCUAUCCGGCGAUGAUUCUUCGAAUAUGUGCCUCGGAUAAUAACAUGCAUCACCAUCUGACUCG
rnacentral:snoRNA from 1 species